rnacentral:rRNA from 1 species
CCUACGGGUGGCUGCAGUGAGGAAUAUUGGUCAAUGGGCGCGAGCCUGAACCAGCCAAGUCGCGUGAGGGAUGACGGUCCUACGGAUUGUAAACCUCUUUUGCCGGGGAGCAAGCGUGCGUUCGUGAACGCGCGUCGAGAGUACCCGGAGAAAAAGCAUCGGCUAACUCCGUGCCAGCAGCCGCGGUAAUACGGAGGAUGCGAGCGUUUUCCGGAUUUAUUGGGUUUAAAGGGUGCGCAGGCGGCCUGUUAAGUCAGCGGUAAAAGCCCGGGGCCCAACCCCGGCGAGCCGUUGAAACUGGCGGGCUGGAGUUGGAGAGAAGUACGCGGAAUGCGCGGUGUAGCGGUGAAAUGCUUAGAUAUCGCGCAGAACCCCGAUUGCGAAGGCAGCGUACCGGCUCCACACUGACGCUGAGGCACGAAAGCGUGGGUAUCGAACAGGAUUAGAUACCCGAGUAGUC